ACUCCCAUGGCGUUCUCUGCCGGUGCCUGCUCAGAUUUAUGGGGCAGUCGGGCGUCAGACCCUCGACCUGAAAGGGAUUUGGGCUUUCUUAGUGGUUAGGGAGGUGGUCAGGGGAGCAAUGGUGGACUCUCUCUAAGCACCUAAUACCCAGUACUGGGCCUCUAGUCUGGCACACCCACCUUAUCCUGGUCUCACACAACUCGGACACUCUGGACAUUACCGACAACGGCCCGGUCUGGCGCCGAUAGCCGCAGUGUGGAUGGCAGCAGCACCAAGGUUGGAGUCCCCUUACCGACGCCCACACAGCCACAUACCACACUCCGCCGUGCAGACACCCAGGCACAGGACGAGCCAACGGAACAUCUGACCAUGAAGUUUGCCAGGCUGUGGAUCCUCCAGCCCUGCAACCACAGAAAGUCAUUCUCCAUCCAUAUUAAAGCUCAGCCCUCUCCAUCACUGGUGCCCCUGACAACACAGGAAAUGGAUCCCACCCGACGGCAGACUCAGCCUCCACACUGUUUAUCACCACAAUUAUCCCCCAUUCAUUCACAGGCUUAUAAGGUAAACUGCCAUUCAGUGAUGUGAAACCACAGGUCUGGACUGGCAAUUUGAUGUAAUUGUGCCGCUGUGAUCAUCUGUAGUCGGAGCUAGGCACCUCAUUUACUGUGGCAUUCUAUUGGAGGGAGAAAAUUAGAACGAAUGAGUCUUUGAUUUUUGGAGAGGGACAAUGGUGUAGUAUAAUAUGGCUGAGAUCAAACAGAAUGGAGGUAGAUGUAGAAAGGGGCAGCCUGCUGGAUGCAUCGACCAAGCCCAGGGAGGGGAGGGGGACAUCCUCCCACUACCAUGGCACAGAGCACUGUGAACCCGGUGACAAGGACAUGUUCCCUGGCUGGGCCUGAGAGUGGGUCUGGGUCCCCCCAAAGGACACGCACACAGGACCCGUCCAGGACCCCAUCCGCUGGCCUUAACUGACCUUUAGCUAAUGGAGGUCUGGCCUCUGAUCAAUGCACUGAGAGACUGGCGGAAACCAUCUUGCCUUUUCUUUCUGAGAGCGGGGAUGGAGGGGGCAAGGGGGACAAAGGGGACAGAAUUGGACGGAGCCAGGAGCCAACAUGGGGCCAUCGACCCUGCCACUCUCCCAUCCUGUGGGUGAUAUCUGUGCCAGCGGGCCUGGGGAUGGUAAUGUCACUCUGCCCUGCCACUGAGGAAGGACGGCCAACCACUCUGUCUCUGUCUCUAUGCUGUAGGGAGGGAAAGUCAGUGCAGAUCCACUUGUGAAUGUCAGAUUAAUCUAUAAUAAUGGUUAUUAUGGCUUUGUGGUUGAAUGCGAAUCAGCUUUAUCAGUAGGCUAUACGGCAAUUAAGAAUCUUAUGAAAAACCAAAUGUUUAUGACAAGUUUAUGGCCAAUUUUGCAUUGAAACCCUCUUUAGUUGUCCUCAUAGGAUAACCCUUUUUGGUUCGGUUCUUUACGGUUCUCUGUACGAGCCGGAUGGUUCACUACUGUACCUUUCAUCAUAGUAGCCUCUGAGGCACAUCCCACAUUAGCAUAGAACAACAAAUGAAUAACAGCCUUUGUAUCGUAAUGAGAUACACGCUUCCUUACAAUGAUGCAAAGCAAUUCAUAUGACCAACUGCAGAUAAAUCACAUUCCAUAUGAAGAGGGACAAAAGCUCAGAGAUAGAUUUGGCACCGAUUGCUCUUUUUAUUUUCAUUAUCAUUAACAGCAAUGUGAUACUCAAACCUCCUGUGACCUCUAUUCUCAUAGGAGCCACUCAUUGGGACAAGCAGAAGGAAAAGUACAGAGAGAGAGAGAGAGAGAGAGAAAGUUUGAAAGUGCACAGAGUACAGUCCAAAAAUGACAUUAUAAACAUGAUUAUCAUAUUGGAAAUGCAUAAAGAUGUCAUGCGGUCGCUGCGGGCCAGCGGUAGGGCAUACUGUCUGUGUGUGAUUACUAUGCAGUUACACUUAAGCCCGCUGACGGACCGACUGAGGAGGAUACGAGGCAAUCUGAGCGGGGCAUGUCUGGCCUAUGACAGCCUCAACUUGCUAGCGUUUCCUCCUUAUCGGGAGCUGGGGAUGACAAGACUAAUUGAAAAGCUCCUUCGUUUUCUUCCUCACAUAUAAAUGGAUUACAGUCUUUGCCUUCAUGCUUUGGUCCUAUGUUUACUCAAUGAGAUCUGACACUAGAGUGGAGGGAUAGGUCCACUCCCAAUUCUAUCCCACACACCUGGCCCGAUUCUGCCCAAUUCCAUACUAACAAUCAGCGCCUCAGUCUCCAUCUCCCACCCUCCUGUGUCUCUUAUCUAGCAGGCCAAUAAACUCACAAAUCCCAUCAUACUAUAUACUCUACACAUCUUAAAGGGAUACUUUAUGCUAGCAGAUAACCAUAGACUUCCAGUCAUUGCGCUAACGCAAUGUAACAUUGGCUCAUGAAACUACCUCGAACGUCCUUCAUACUGGACACAGAGACAUACAAAUGGUAUCCACUAAUUCAUCUGACUCUGGGCAAGUAGAUAAAGGGCCUCUGGCAAAAUCCUGAAGUAGCCUUUUAAUAUAUUUAUAGGUGUGGUUAUAUGGUAUUGGGGGGCUGACACCCUUGGUCAGGGACUUACGGGGGGUGCAGGGGAGCGAGGAGAGAGAUGCAGAGAGAACCCUGUGGACCCACUGAGUGGCGUGGCAGACUCCCCAGCCUCCUGCUAGGAUUUGUUGGAAUGUGAGAGAGGAGGAUUUCAGCGCCAGGCCAGAGCCAUGCAGACUUCAUGCCAUCUGUCUCCCCCUCCGUCCUCCCUUUGCCAAACUCAUCAGACCUUUUUUUCUCUCCGUUUCAUCCCUUGUUCACAAUACUAGGGGACAUACUGGGAUCUGCUAACGCACUGUAGGAAAGAAUGGAGGGAAGAAAUGGAAGAAGAGCUCAAUAAACAAAUGAAUAUGUAUUCAUGGAGUUGAUGUACUGACGAUAUACAGUAUCUGUGACAGAGAAACUGAGUCUUCAUGUUGUAUCAAAGUUUAAUGACCAUAAAACACUUCCAAGAGUCAGUAAAGUCAGUCAGUAAAGUCAGUCAGUAGAGUCAGUCAGUAAAGUCAGUCAGUAGAGUCAGUCAGUAAAGUCAGUCAGUAAAGUCAGUCAGUAAAGUCAGUCAGUAGAGUCAGUCAGUAGAGUCAGUCAGUAGAGUCAGUCAGUAAAGUCAGUCAGUAGAGUCAGUCAGUAGAGUCAGUCAGUAGAGUCAGUCAGUAAAGUCAGUCAGUAAAGUCAGUCAGUAGAGUCAGUCAGUAGAGUCAGUCAGUAAAGUCAGUCAGUAAAGUCAGUCAGUAAAGUCAGUCAGUAAAGUCUAACACUGUAAUGAAGGCAUCAAUGUAAAAAAAUGUGUUUCUUUUAGUAACAAUGACCCAUACAUAUUUAACUUCCAUUGUCCUUCAAGAAUGGCUGAAUAUUUUCUUGUGGUGUACCUGGGUAGGACUGUGUGGUAGUGGCACACCGUACAUUAUCCUGCAUGAGUUAGUGAAAACAAAAGUCUGUUGUGAUUCCAACUCAUGCAUUGUGUUAUGGCAGAAACAUGGCAGAUUCAUUAUCUCAACUGUUAAUAUGGUGUCAUAUCUGCCCUUCCGUUUAUUGACGACCCAAUAAACGGUAUCAUAAAUAACAGUAUGUUGUUGAUGUGUUCAUUUGAAUCAGUAAUGACGUGAGGAAAACAGCCAGCUACCAACCUUCAAUGACCAGGUCCACUUCACAUCCAUCAAUCCCUGAAAACAAACAUUUUCCAACAUGAAGGUUUUGACCACAGAUGACACAAACACAUUCCAAACAACCACUCAAUCACUGCCACGUUGAGGAGGGCUCAGGAUCAGGAUUCAACUGGCAUAAUGAAAUCAUAAACAGAUCCCCUCAUCAAAUGGCUCUGUGAGUCGUGUGGUGGUCUGAUGGGGUUGACCCCUCACCCUCUCCCUGUGGGGGGUGGCUGGGGAGGGGGGCACGGGAGAUCACACGAUGGCCCUGUUCGGGCUCCAUGUCCACACAGACUGGCCUGUUCAGAGAGGGUGGAGGGGUGGAAGUGUACCCCCUCGUCUGAAAGAGAGCACCAGGUGGCAGGGAUGUGGGCAGGGGGCUUUUGAUGCUGACCCCUAGUCUCUGGGCUGGGAUGGCCCUAGUCAUUGAUCCAGCCAAGGGAGGGAGGGGAGCCAGGUGCCCCUUGUGGGGCUUGGAAUGAGCUGCCACAGUUUGGACGUGGAGGAGAGGAAUCUGGGCCACACUGGUCCCAGUCACGCCGCUAGCCCGAGCCCCAGUGUUAACUGACUAUAACAUUGUUGACCGGCUAUAACAUUGUUGACCGGGUGAUGGACUAAGGGCUUGAUUCAAGCCGUAUCGCCGAAGUUGAGAGCUAUAGCGUGAUUUAAGUUUAAAUGCAAUGUUCCCGCGCUUGUGGAGACUGCAUUCACAGUCAACUUUGCAUAUGUCAGCUCAAUCGGAAAUUACCUUCACAUUGUAAGUGCGAUAUAAUGCUGAACUUCGGCAAAACGGAUUGAAUUGAGACCUUACAUUGGCAGCAAUAGGGUAAAUAUAUACAUAUAUAUAUAUAUAUAUAUAUAUUUAUAUUUUAUUAUUUUUUAAUUUGACCCCUUUUCUCCACAAUUUUUCAUGGUAUCUAAUUGGUAGUUACAGUCUUGUCUCAUCGCUGCAACUCCAGUACGGACUCGGGAGAGGCGAAGGUCGAGAGCCAACACAACCCAACCAAGCCACACUGCUUCUUUGACACAAUGCCCACUUAACCCAGAAGCCAGCCGUACCAAUAUGUUGGAGGAAACACCAUAAACCUGGUGACUGUGAUAACGUGCACUGCGCCCUGCCCGCCAUAGGAGUCGCUAGUGCACGAUGGGACAAGGACAUCCCCUCCGGCCAAACCCUCCUGAUAACCUGGACGACGCGGGGCCAAUUGUGUGCCCCAUGGGUCUCCCGGGUGCAACAAAGCCUGAACUCAAACCCAGAAUCUCUAGUGGCACAGCUAGCACUUAGACCACUGCGCCACUCGGGAGGCCCUAAAAUAUGUAUUUUUAACUAGUGUCAAUGCAUGGAUUAUUUGAUUGGAAACGUUUAUAAUUUAAAUGGGAUGAUUGCUGAAUAUAACAGAAAAUAAUGCAAGGUAACACACUGAAAAAUGAAUGCUGAGUGGUGGUGACUGACAACUGUGUUAGGUACCCAACCAGAUUAAAACAGGAGACACAGACAGAGCAGAAUUCCUCACCAUUGUCAGGGGUGUAAUAACAACAUCAGCCGCUACAUGAAUAAGAGGAAAAAACAAACACGUUUUUUAAAGUGUGAUCAUUGAGUGUAUUAUUUUGGUGUGGUGUUAAAUCUGAAUUUCACUCGAGUGUUGUAUAAAAUGCAUGACUGGAAUAAAUAAGAGUUAGAGCAAGCCAGUGAGAAAUCAUUGUUACAAAUGUGAGCACCAUUACAAAUCCAUGCAUAAAGCUUACUGUGGUGUAGCCAGUCUCUUUCAUUCAUAAUGAGAUGAUGUCCUGCUGAAGUAGCUGGAAGAAGACACUACCUUGAAAUCUGCCAGCAUUCCCAACACUGUGUCUGUGUCUGGGCCAGGCUUGGAGGAGGGUUAGUGUUCUCAGUAUCUAAGCACUGUCUAUAAGAUGUUUACCGCACACAUACACACCUGCACACUCCACUCACACACACACACUAAAGUGCCAACACACACACACAUGCACACACACACACGUGCACACUCUCACGCACACAGGGAAAUGAACGUGCACAUACACACACACACAAAAGACAUGGACUACAAUUCUGACACUUGCCUGGGGCUUGGAUGUUAAAGCAGGCUGGAUGGAAGAAGAAUGAAGAUGUGUCUGAUUCCAACAGCAGCCAAUAGGAGAGUAGUACCUUACACCCAGUGCUCUCUGAUAGGUUCUC